rnacentral:piRNA from 1 species
UCCUAGCCUUAGUCAUCAGUUCUUGUUUGA